UUACUUACCUGGCAGGGGAGAUACCAUGAAAAUUAAGGUGGUUCUCCCGGUGUAAGGCUCAUGAUCAUCCAUUGCACUCUGGUUGUUCUGACCCUUGUGAUUUCCCCAAAUGCACGAAACUCACCAGCAUAAUUUGUGGUAGUAUGGGAAUGCGUUCAUGCUUUUCCUUG